rnacentral:rRNA from 1 species
CAACUUUCAGCAACGGAUCUCUUGGCUCUCGCAUCGAUGAAGAACGCAGCGAAUUGCGAUAAGUAAUGUGAAUUGCAGAUUUCCAGUGAAUCAUCGAAUCUUUGAACGCAUCUUGCGCUCCUUGGUAUUCCGAGGAGCAUGCCUGUUUGAGUGUCAAUUAAUUCU